UCUUGGAGCUGCUUCUUUCUUUCUUUUUUUCUUUGCUCAAUGAUCUUUGUCCUCCAAGUUCAUUUCGCUCAAUCGUGCAAAUUAUUCGAUCGUCUCUUGUAUUAUAGGGGUGAAUGAAUUGAGGAAGGCUGUUGCUUUACGUUAAUGUCUCAUGUCUGUCUGUGUCUUCUUCGUGGAUUUGCGUUUUGAGGUUUUCUUAGACCAGUUUCAAGUUGUGUGUGUAUGUUUCCACCUGUUUGUUCUUUCGUUUGAUCUUUGUUCUACUAUUAUUGUUAUAGGUCUGAUCAUGGAAUUAUCUUCCUGAUUUUGCUUUUUAAGUUGUGUAGAUUUGGUUGGCUUUUGCAUAUCCAAUGGAGCGCUGGUUGUACUUCACAUCUGCGUAAAUUAGUUCUCUUAAUUUUUGGAGGAAGAAGACAUGCGCUUCGAUGUCGAUCACUACAAGAUUCUCGGGCUGCCAUCCGGUGAGAAUGGGGCGAACCUCUCCGAGAAGGAGAUUUCCAGAGCAUGCCAUGCAAAAGCCAAGAAGUUUCACCCCGAUAAGAGACCGGACAACCCAAAUGCUAAUGCAGACUUCCAGCGGUUGAGCAGGUCCUAUGAAUUUCUGAAGGACUAGAAGUCUCGGAAGCAUGACCUGUUGAGGAAGAUGGCAAAGCGCGAGCCACCGCCGAAGCAGCAGCAGCACUGGAUGCAUCAGGAUUCUAAGAGGAGGAAAAUGGUGUCUAACAGGGAGAGGGAACAGGCGCAUCGGGCGGCUUUUGCCCCUGACUCUUCUACUAUGGCGGCCCGACAGGAGGAGAGGUUUGUCCGAGACCUCGAGGAGGAGAUUGCUAGAAUGCAUGAGAUGUGCGCAAAUAAGAUGGCUGCGCCACCUGCUCCCAAGGGGACCAACUGCAAGCUCAGGGGAGGAGAGUAUGGUUGGCUCCUCUCCCGGGUUGGAUAAGGCAAAGGUUCUCCAAGUCACAUGGGAGAAGGUCGGUGUUGAUUAUAGCCGAGAGAGGCUGAAGGAGAUUUCCUCCAAGUUUGGUGUGGUUGAAGACGCCGUGAUUAGGAGUUCCAGGAAGCAAAGGUUGCUGCUAUGGAAAUCUCUCAAAUCCUUUGGCAGUCGUGCCUCUUCGGCCAAUUGUACCGACCGACUUGCCCAGCUUUCAGAAACCUGUGGAAGAUGAUCACCUCGACAAUCUUGUUGGAGCAGGUUAUCAAGCCUUCAAGGACUCGGUCUUGCAGAAACUCCAAAAGGCUGCUGAGAACAUUCGGGAGUUGGCAACAAGCUAGCUUCAAGAAUCGCUCCAACCUGAAUUGACUGCAACUCUGGCCGAUAAAAAAUAUUGCCAUCACGUCCAAAGCUUAUGGAAUUCAUGCGAAGACACAGUCUACGUUGUCGCUUCAUGUUAUUUGAGUUUGUGUUAGCUUACUCAAGGGGAAGGCAAAGCGUAUUCAUCACUGAUGCCCAUGGCAAUUAUAAUGUCAGGAAUUGCAGAAAUGUUUGUCGGGUUACUUGUUGAGACAGGUAUUGACAUCAGCUUUCUAUUUCCAGUUAUUGAAGAAAUAUCAUUGAGAACAUGAAAGAAGUAUGGUGAAUGAUUGUUCUUAAUAUGGUGCAAUAGCAUAGUUAUGACAGAGGAAUGAAACAGGGGUCAAUCAGGCCUUGCCAUAUUGUAGAAAAAUUCUAGAAGGCUAAAGCUCGAAGGCAAAGUGCCGAAGAAGACAGUGCCAAGGCUCUUCCGCUAGGUCUUCGCUCUAUGUUCUCCCCCCAAAUUCCCAAAACUCACGAGUUUGAGCUUACAGUACCAUCUUCUGAUCCGGUUGUAUACAUUAUUAUAUCCAAUUGCCUAAACUGCAGAGCCAGUAACAUCCGAUUGCCUAAACUGUAGAAGUAGCUCUUUUCCCUGCUCUAAAUGUUCUCUCUGUGAUUUUUUUUCUUUCACAGGGGAUGAUUUAGUGAAUGAAACUGAAAGUUAGCUCUUGCAAAUAGAAGUCGUAGGUUCGUACUCGAAUUUAACCUCGAGAGGAAAAGGAGGACGAAGAAGAGGCACUUAGGAAACUCUAAUAUAGCAGUAUUUGCAAGCCCCAGCUUCCUGAUACUUGAGAGAACAAUAGUUUUUGAUUGUUCGCGUUUUACUUUCACUGAAGUGAUUGCUUGAUGUGUGUAAGCAAAUUCUGUGUUCCAUCAGAAUGUAUGAGAAACAAGUAGAUAGGACCAGACGAUGACGGUUAUACUUUUCUGGAGCCGGACAUGGAAGAGAUGAAAGUAGUUUUUUCUUAUUCUGUAAGUUGCCUUACUAUACUUGUUUUGAAAGGUCC